rnacentral:rRNA from 1 species
CAAUAAGCGGAGGAAAAGAAACUAACAAGGAUUCCCUUAGUAACUGCGAGUGAAGAGGGAAGAGCCCAGCACCGAAGCUCUCGCCUUAACUGGCGCUGCGCAAUGUGGUGUUCAAAGGAAACCGUUUCCGACGGGCCGUCGUUGCCUAAGUCCCCCUGACCGGGGCCAUCGCCCGUGGUGGGUGCAAGGCCCUUUUGGCAAGUCGGCGGCCUGGAGGAUGGUUACCUUUUUGGAGUCGGGUUGCUUGAGAGUGCAGCCCUAAGUCGGUGGUAAACUCCAUCGAAGGCUAAAUACUUGACACGAGACCGAUAGCAAACAAGUACCGUGAGGGAAAGUUGCAAAGAACUUUGGAGAGAGAGUUCAAGAGUACGUGAAACCGCUCGGAGGUAAACGGGUGGGACCUCGAAGGUCGAACGGGUGGAUUCAACUCGUCGGUGGCUGCGCUGCUCGCGGAUAACGACCUAGGUAACAGAUCCUUUGGGACUGGUCCGCGGCGGCACGAGCAGCUUUUUUGCCGGCGGGCGCACUUCCACCUCAGUAGGACGCCGCGACCGGUUGGAAAACAGGGCAGCCAUGAGUUUUGGUGGUUCGCAGGUAUCCGUUGCCAGUAGUCGUUCGCUUCAACAUCCAUUGUCGCGUUUCGGCCUGGUCGGAGUUACAGCCUACCUAGAAGCGACUGGCACUGCUCACCGACCGUUGGAAAAAGACUUAGAUGUCGGCGUGCCCACGGCUUUGAUGAACGCGCAUCCGUCAACGGGAAAGCCGAGGGGUUCUCGCCGGCAGACGCCUGGAAAUGGGCGGCUGCUGGCUCCCUCUUGGCCGUUGUCCCGGGAAAGCGGUUUGUUGGCUGAUGCAGUUGGCACUCGAGGUCUGCGGCGAGUAGGUCGGUCCCCCACCYGWCCCGUCUUGAAACACGGACCAAGGAGUCUAACAUGUGCGCAAGUCACGAGGUUCUGGAAAACUAGACCCGGUGGCGAAAUGAAAGUGAAGGCGUUCUUCAACGAACGCUGAGGCGAGACCGAACGAAAAAAGAAGUAGUUUGUGCAUCGCUGGCCCGUCCGUACUGCAAACGUCAGUUGGGCGGAGCUUGAGCGCACACGUUGGGACCCGAAAGAUGGUGAACUAUGCCUGUACAGGACGAAGCCAGAGGAAACUCUGGUGGAGGUCCGUAGCGAUUCUGACGUGCAAAUCGAUCGUCUGAUAUAGGUAUAGGGGCGAAAGACUAAUCGAACCAUCUAGUAGCUGGUUCCCUCCGAAGUUUCCCUCAGGAUAGCUGGCGCUCGAUUCAAAAAGAAAACAGUGUCAUCCGGUAAAGCGAAUGAUUAGAGGCCUUGGGGUCGAAACGACCUCAACCUAUUCUCAAACUUUCAAUGGGUGAGAAGUCUGGCUUGCUCGAACAGAAAAACUGAAGCACAGACAUUGGAUGAGAGUGCCCAGUGGGCCACUUUUGGUAAGCAGAACUGGCGCUGUGGGAUGAACCAAACGCCGGGUUAUGGCGCCCGAUGCGGACGCUCAUGAGACCCCAUGAAAGGUGUUGGUUGCUAUUGACAGCAGGACGGUGGCCAUGGAAGUUGGAANNNNNNNNNNNNNNNNNNNNNNNNNNNNNNNUUCCAUGUGAACAGCAGUUGAACAUGGGUCAGUCGGCCCUAAGGAAUAGGGGAAACCCGUUCCGAACAAGUAUGUUUUUCAAAUUGGAAAAAACUUGCAUGACCGAAAGGGAAUCGGGUUAAUAUUCCCGAACCCGGACGUGGAGAUGGGCCCCUCGCGGGUCAGAAGCGGUAACGCAAACGAACUUGGAGAUGCCGGCGGCAGUCCCGGGAAGAGUUGUCUUUUCUUUGUAAGGGACUGACUCCCUGGAAUCGGUUCGACCGGAGAGAGGGAAGUUGUACCCGUAAAGCACCGCGGCUCUUGCGGUGUCCGGAGCACUGCCGCUGGCCCUUGAAAAUCCAAGGGAGUGAAAAUCAUUUCCACGCCGGGCCGUACCCAUAUCCGCAGCAGGUCUCCAAGGUGAACAGCCUCUAGUCGAUAGAACA